rnacentral:sRNA from 1 species
GAUGUAGUCCUCGCCGAGCACGUUGACGGCGCUGC